GCUUUGGUUUAUGAAUGUGGAGGUUCUAAGAAAUCAUUUGCAAGAGUCAAUUAUAUGUAACUCCAGAGCUAUUUUCCCCCAGAAAUAACAUUACAAAUGAUCAUUGGAUUUGUCAUAUUUAGUCUAAUAUAAAGCCAAGAUAUAUUUGAAAUCAAGAAUCUGAAGGAAUGCUGGAAUACCAAAAAUCUAUCAGAGAAAAAUUUCAAAUGAUUGAAAUAAAAAUUUAUUUGUGCCAUACCUGGUGGUGUGUGCCUUUAAAUCCAGAACCCAGAAAGCUGAGGUAGACUAAAUAUGACAAUAUGAGUUCAAGGCCAGUUUGGUCUACAUAGCAAGCUGCAGGACAACCAGAACUGCAUAGAGACUCCCUGUCUCAAAAAAAAAAAAAAAAAAAAAAGAGUAUUUGAAAAUUCUCCUAAAUCGUGACUGUGGAUGUGCAAUGGGGUGAAGAAAAAACACAGUCCUCAUUGGGUAUUUCUGUAGACUGUAAUGCUGUACUACUGUUGAUGUACGUGGCCAUUGGAAACAUUUUGUUACCCGAUUUUAAGGAAGUUAUUGUUAGUAUGCACUCAGCUUUAUUCUCCGAGGCAAAGCUGGAGCUGGGGGGCGGGGGACAGGGUACUUGACUAAUGUCGUUAUGAUUCAGUUAGAAAUUAUAGUCAUAAAAAGACCUAGCCUUGAAAUGUUAAUAGAGUCCAGAAGUUAGUUUCUACCUCUUUUGUAAAACGAUUUUCACAGAGUGACCACAGAGGAUAUGUAGAGAAAUGUCACCUUUGUCCUGGAGAGUAACUGAGGAGUGUCAGAAUGAAGUAUGACUACCCUGAGAAAUGAGCGGCCACAUAAUAGGCCAGGGUUUGAAAGCCCUUGGCUGCAUAUUUCUAUCUCACUGGCACAGGUAACUACUCAUAAUUUAGGGAAAUGAAGUGCCCUUAAAGAGUCUUAAAUUUUGUCGCAGUUUAAUUUUAAGCUCUUUUUUUUCUAUAUAAUGCUUUCAAAAAUCUUUAACAUUUAAAAUAAAAUUUCUUUGAUCGACUAUAGCUCUUUAUGUCAGGUCUCAGGGUAUGGUCAUUUUUGAGACUACCUUAUGGGAAGCCAGACCAAGUCUGACCCAUGCCUUUGGAACAUAUAGUCCAUACUGAGAGAGCUGAAUGUUUUAAAAUAAUCACUAAUUUGGACAAGAAAAGAAUUAAAUAAACAUAUUAGUGGGCAUUGUGAUCUCUACAUGACUUCUAUUAAUCUUUGGCAUAUGUAUAGACUAUAGUCUUUCCGUAUGUGUGUGUACUCACUUGCAUGUAAUGAGUUAUAUGGCAUAUACUGUUGUAGAACUCAGACGAUUUCUUACUGGAAGCAGAACACUGACAUCUUCUGACAUAGCGGAGCAGCCUGCUGUGUCAUUAUUCUAAAGUCCAUGUGAAGUUCCAUGUAAGGAGACACUGCGGUGUGCAGUGUGGUACCAACUGUUGUCAGAAUCCUGAAUAAUACUCUAACUGAUCAAUCUCUAUUUGUCUAUGAUAAUUUCCCACGGAUAUAUCCUAGAAAUCUUACUGAAUGGGACUCCAUUACUCUUUCAGGCAUUUCUCUGGUACUUUUCUUUUAUCAGCACUACAUGGAAAUGCUUUUAUUUUUUUCCCAAUAGACUAAAGCUGCUGCCAGGGUAGCAUGCCUUUAUAACUGUAUCCUUUGCCUUUCUGGACUAGCCCAAUUGGUUAAAGCCACGAUCAUACCAUUAUCAGCCUUUAUUGUAUUAUGUCCAGUUAAAGGCAUUUUGUACUCCAAGAAUUUUAUGGCAAAGAACCCAUGGCUUCCUAAAAUUCUCCGUGGGUGACUUAAACUACUAUUCUUACAUGUGUAUCUCUCUCUUGCAUAGGUUAUUUGCGAGAUCUUUCCUCAAUUUUGUUGUAUUUAAAAGAUAAUGAAAGCAGAGGCUUGGCCAAACUCAGUUGUAACCAUUUCAUAUCUUAAGGCCAUUUCCCCCUCUUUGUUUAAUCUAAGGAAAGACUGUAUUUUUAUUUGCUUUUAUAUGACUACAGAUAUCCAAAUGUUUAUUACAUUUAAAAGUACCUACUACUAUAAGGCAUGCUAAACAAGCAUAAAUAUUCAGAGCCUAAAAAGCCAUUGGGUUUAAAUUUCAAAGGCACGUUCAGGCCAAGAGUCAGGUAUAAUACUGUACUAGUAGAAGAAAUUGCUAUAACAAAUCACUUUUGAGCCAAACCAAUACACUCCUCAUCACUUUUUUUUAGAGCUUUCUGAUUUUGGAGAAUAUCUGACUUUGUGCAUUGAGGUGCCUGGGAAAAUAGCUUUUGAUAGUUCAGCACUAUAAUAGUCAAUAGAAAAGCACAGAGAAAGUCUAAAGUCACAUUAAAAAUACAUGCCUGGAAAAUGGCGAAUGAGGUAAUCUAGAGGGUGGGUAGAGUAAAGGCCACUGUAUCAGCUAAGAAGGUUCAAUACCAAUAUUUCCUGUAAGUUACUCUGUAUUUUGCAUUGACCCAUGUACAGUUUAUUGAGAAAUAAGAAUCACCCCAUUCUUUUUCCAGUAAUUAAUUCAGAAUAUCCAUUCAUCCAGAGCCUCUGUGUCAUGCACUUGGAGAAGACCUGAGCUGAUUUCCAUAACAUAUCCAUAUUUUACGGUCACAGUACGUAGCCUCAAGUGUAUUUUCUUGUGUUAACUUGCCUGGAAGUUAAUUAAAGGAGAAAAGGGACUUAUAAAUAUGGGGGUACCCUAACUUUAUGAAUAAUAUCACUUAGUUAAUAAAUGAUAUAUUUCAAUAAGUAACAUUCUUAUAUAUCCACAUUCAUUGAAUCGUCUCAAAAAGUGUAAGACAAGAUUUCUGUUUUGAUUCAUUUUUUGAGAUUUAGAUUUGUAAAAUUCAACAGGAAAUUAACAGCCUGUGGUAGACAAAGACUGUGCCAAACAGAGGCAAAGCAGACAAUGGUAAAGCUUGUUUCUUUGGCUAUCCGUUUCUCCUGGACUGUGUGGGUCCCCUGCUGUGUCUGACACCCCAUAGAUUCCCAUAGGCCUUGCCAUCCUUGGACAGUUGUCACAGCUGGGGAUUUAAAAUACCUGCUCUAAAAACUCAGAGUCUGUCUCCAAUUCAUUCCCUAUUGUUAUAGCAACAAGUGAUUUAAUGUGCUAAGUUUCUCUCCAGGUAUACUCAGUAUUCUAUAGGGAGUGUGGUACGUUAGUAAGGAGUACAAAAGCGCUAAGGGUAGACUAUGCAGUAUCGGUGGUAAGGGUGAGAUCGAGGAUAAAUGGGGAAAGCCUUUUCAUCUUAGAGACUUUCAGUUCAGUCAUAAAAUCUGCAUACAUAGUAAACACUCCAUCUUGUCCUCCAUAAGAUGAGGACUCCCAAGAAAUACUUUUGGAUGUGUGGUAGGUAUGGGAAAGGAGCUUUAUGAAAGUUCAUGACAGGAGGUAGUUGUCUCUAACCUACCUUACAAGGAAUUAUCAUUUUCGGAUUAGGAAACCCGAUCCUAUAGCAAGAGGUUUUAAAGGAUUAAAAGAAAUGGCUCGAUUUUUCUUUCACCUUUUAGACAGAGGAAUGUCACAGAAAGAACACGAUGUUAUCAAACUUUUUUCAAAAUGUGGAGUUAAAAAUCGGGAAAACAAACUAUUUUAAAAACGAGAGUCCGUAUCAGGAACCUUUUCUUUCCGAUUGAAAAUGUCUGUAAGAAUGCCUCAAUCUGUAUAAGCCCUGAGUCUUUGUGUUUAGUUGGCACCUUACCUUCCUGUCUGUUGGAUACAAUUAAAUUUCUGUUCUUACCACUUUCUAUAGUCUAUUGCCACCAAGACUACAGUUGAUUUAUAUUAUGCAGUAAACAAGUGAGUAUCUCAAAUACUACAACAGGGAAUAAAGGCGAAUAAUCAAAAGGCUGUGCCUGUUCCAAUCCUCUAGCCAUUGCACUAUGGCCUCUUUCCCAGAAAUACAACAGUACUGUGUUUGAAGCAUGAAGAACAGAAAGCAAGAGUUUAUUCUAGGGAUUCUUGUCUCUCGGCGUCUUUUGGUUUGCAGUAACAGUAAACCCUUUGAUUAAAGGCCAGCGGGGCUGUAGCCAUCAGAUAUAUAGAUCUUUAAAAAGCAAGGAAAGUUCAAACUUGUGGUCAUACUACCAAAGAAUGCAGCAGUAAAUACCAAACUGCUGCUAUAGAGAGAACCUACAACACAGUUGAUUUUGAGUGAGCUGAACUACUUUAACAGCUGGAUCUCUACCCCACAUUCACAGCAACAUGAGCUUGCACAUAACUUACCUGAUUGCUACUUUAGACCUCAGAAUCCCUUAGGGUACAGUGAGUACCUUACAGCUGUUGCCCAUGCCCUUUCUCACAAAGCUUUUCUCUUCAGUCCCCAUGAUCCCUAUAACCUGCCUCGAGGCUCUGUGUCUCCAGAUCACUCCAGAUCAAAAUUCUGAAGGAUGCGAAUCGCCACUCUUUCCUACUAGUCAGUAGAUGGCCAUUGGGUCAGCAGAUCUCAUAGAGCCUAGUAUGUAUGGUGUCCAUUUCAUGUGAUUGUUGGUGUUUUAGAGUGGGUCUCAGAGCAGCAGGCAGUCUGGAGAUUCAUGGAGAUUCAUUUGCCUAAUUUGCAUAUGAUACCAGUCACCAAUGAAAAAUAAUUGUCAAAACAUGGUAACAUCAUUUGAUACUAUUUUUAUUUUAUUUUUUUCCUUUUAAAAUGUAUCUUGUAAUACUUUAAUUUUGUAGUUAUAGUAUAACCUGUAUGAUUGCUUUAAAUGAUAAUACUGUUUAUAAGAUAUGUAGUUCCCAAGUAAUUUUUCUCCUAGCUUUUUAUAAUAUAAAGACUUC
rnacentral:lncRNA from 1 species